rfam:Dipodomys ordii contig_6664, whole genome shotgun sequence.
GGGAAAGUAGCUCAGUGGUAGAGUGCUUGCCUUGCAUGCAUGAGGCCCUGGGUUCGAUUCCUCAGUACCA